CUACGGGUCGCUCCAGUGGGGAAUAUUGGACAAUGGGGGGAACCCUGAUCCAGCCAUGCCGCGUGUGUGAAGAAGGCCUUUUGGUUGUAAAGCACUUUAAGCAGUGAAGAAGACUCUUCGGUUAAUACCCGGGGACGAUGACAUUAGCUGCAGAAUAAGCACCGGCUAACUCUGUGCCAGCAGCCGCGGUAAUACAGAGGGUGCAAGCGUUAAUCGGAAUUACUGGGCGUAAAGCGAGCGUAGGUGGCUUGAUAAGUCAGAUGUGAAAUCCCCGGGCUUAACCUGGGAACUGCAUCUGAAACUGUUAGGCUAGAGUAGGUGAGAGGGAAGUAGAAUUUCAGGUGUAGCGGUGAAAUGCGUAGAGAUCUGAAGGAAUACCGAUGGCGAAGGCAGCUUCCUGGCAUCAUACUGACACUGAGGCUCGAAAGCGUGGGUAGCAAACAGGAUUAGAUACCCUCGUAGUC
rnacentral:rRNA from 1 species